ACCUUUGUAAACCUUGUUAGGCAGCUGCGAAUAAUAAGUACAAGAAGUGAAAAAUAUUCUUCUCGGUUAAAUUUUUCUACAAACUGUUCAAUAAUUAUUAUUUCAUGAAAUGUGAUCAUUUCUACUUUUACGUUCCGAACACGAAAUGUGGUGUUUACCAAAAACUACAUAAUAACAAAUUUUUGUCACUCGACCAUUUCAGAAUCCAGGAACGAGCCUCAUGAUAUUGAAAUGAAGAUCACGAGAAAAGACACAGACCUCCGCCACUACCCUUACUCAGUAGGAACGAACCUUUCAACUGACAAAACAAAAUGUGAAACCUUUGUAAACCUUGUUAGGCAGCUGCGAAUAGUAAGUACAAGAAGUGAAAAAUAUUCUUCUCGGUUAAAUUUUUCUACAAACUGUUCAAUAAUUAUUAUUUCAUGAAAUGUGAUCAUUUCUACUUUUACGUUCCGAACACGAAAUGUUGUGUUUACCAAAAACUACAUAAUAACAAAUUUUUGUCACUCGACCAUUUCAGAAUCCAGGAACGAGCCUCAUGAUAUUGAAAUGAAGAUCACGAGAAAAGACACAGACCUCCGCCACUACCCUUACUCAGUAGGAACGAACCUUUCAACUGACAAAACAAAAUGUGAAACCUUUGUAAACCUUGUUAGGCAGCUGCGAAUAGUAAGUACAAGAAGUGAAAAAUAUUCUUCUCGGUUAAAUUUUUCUACAAACUGUUCAAUAAUUAUUAUUUCAUGAAAUGUGAUCAUUUCUACUUUUACGUUCCGAACACGAAAUGUGGUGUUUACCAAAAACUACAUAAUAACAAAUUUUUGUCACUCGACCAUUUCAGAAUCCAGGAACGAGCCUCAUGAUAUUGAAAUGAAGAUCACGAGAAAAGACACAGACCUCCGCCACUACCCUUACUCAGUAGGAACGAACCUUUCAACUGACAAAACAAAAUGUG